AGGUAGCCAAAAUUUUUUAUCUAAACGCUUAAUAUGAAGAAAUUACUAAUGAAAUACUAUUGAGAAUUAGAAGCACUUAUUUCAAUAAAUCUCAAAUCUUAAAAGUAUUUUUAUAGGUAAAAAGAUCAUAACUAAUAGAUUUUCAUACCUAAUUUGAAGCAAUAAUUAAAAUUCAAAUAAUUUGGUCUUAAGAUUGUUGGAAAUAUGAGUUCUAUAAGUUCUAUAAAACUGUUGUGAAGUGCACUUCAAGUACAUAAAAUUUAGAACAAUAGUAGAAAAUUGAUGAAGAAAAUAUUAGAUAGAAGUAGAGAGCAUUAAUUUAAGCAGUUGGAUAUUUUCUUCUCAACAGUCAUCAUUAAAGGCUUGCAUGUUUCCAUUAUGAAGAAAAACUUUUUAUAAUUCAAUUUAAAUUAGUCAUUCAUGUGUCCCAUAUUUUAGUUCAACUUAGAUAAUACAAAUCUCUUGUAAAUUUGACUUCUUCAACUUUAAUUUAUAAUUGAAUCAAAUCAAACACAUGAUUAAUUUCAAAUCAAACAGAAAAAAAAAACUUCUUUCACUUCCCUUCAAAAUAUUAAUAUAUUGAAAUAUCAAUAUAAUUCAAACAACAUCUUUUUUUUUAACCCUUUGGUUCCUAGCAUGAUAUUGUAAAUUAAAUGCUUGUAUUCAUAUCCUUUGGCCAAACUUGGGAUAAUUUUCACUUAUGUCAAAAUCGUGUUAUAAUAAAAGUUAUAUAGAACUUAACGAGUUCAAUUCUAAGCUUACAUCCACGGACAUAAAAUAAAUAUUUUCACUAUUGAUAUAUGCCUAUAAUAUUUGUUGUUAGUAAUAUUUUUUAUUUACUCUAAGAAAGGCAUUCUAUCCAUAGCAAUAUGUAGAUAAGAAGAAAUUUGAAUUUAAACUCUUAUUAGUAAUCCAUAUCACUUAGGAUUUGGAUGAUAUUAUAACUUUGUCUAUAUUCCUAUUUAUCUAAACCAAUCUCCAAUGAUGUGUUUAUUCCCAGUAAUCAAAAUGGUUUUAUGAAAUCGGAAUCAAUGAUGCAUUUACUCAUAAAUUUGAAGCUUGAAAUCGAAACAAAAUUCAUGUGAGGCCCUUAAAUUUAGGAAUCAUUCCUAGAGUUUUGACUCCCAAAGGGUUGAACCAGAAUCUUAUUCCUAAGAUUGGCAAAAAUACCCUCAUUCAAGUUUCUAAAUUCCUACUUUGUCAUAAUUAAUUCACAAAAAUAUAAAAGAAAAAAAUCAAACUGCUCAUUAUAAUUUUGAUUCCUGCAGCUUAAGUAAACAAAUUGUUGCGAUUCUCAUUCUUCAUUCUAAUUUCACCUCAUUCUUAUUCUAGCCUAUUUCCAUUCCAGCCCAUUUCAAUUAUCAAUUGGUAAACACACCAUGAAUUCUUUCAUUUCAUGUAUUGGAUUAAACCUGAACCAAGCUCCUAAGUUUUUAUAGCCUAGCUAAACCAAUCUCGUCACUAAAAUCUUAAUUAAUAGGUCAAGUUGGACCAAAGUCCUCUCUAUGUGGACUUUGACUAAGGGCAAAUCUAGAAAUUAUAUGAAAACUUAAUGAUUUUACAUUUUAGAAAUUUUUUUUAGUAAGAAUAAAAGUUAUAUUAUCUUCAAAUGAUAAUCUAUUGGUGAAAUUCUAACUAAGCAAUCCUAGAGGGGAUGAAUCAAUUUUUUUUUUAGAAAUAAAUUAAGCAAAUAAAAGUAACAAUCUAAACUAAUGGCUUAAAAGUUUCAAUAAUAGUAAAAUUACCAAUCAAUAAAUUUAAAGAGAUAAGGGAGGAGAGCAAACACGAUAUUUUUACGUGGUUCAGUAAAGUCUGCCUAUGUCUUUGCCUCCAAGCUAAGCGAGCUUGAAGAUUUUAUUACCCAAGCCUUUACAACCCACUUUACAACCCAAGGCUUCAAGAUACUUACAAUUGACUUCCAAUGUGUCAAUAAACCUUUAUAAUAGAUAUGAUCUCUCACCCCUUUUUUCAAAGUGCUUCCCACACUUACAGUAACUUAAUUUUGAUAUUGAAAUGAAAAUUACAUAGAUUUUUUGUCACACAAUGUAUGUGUUUACAAAUGAAAGCCCAAAGUUCUAUUUAAUAAAGGAAUAAACAAAAUUUAUCUCAGAACAGAUUGAAUAUGCAAUGAUAAGCUUGAUGGUAAUAGUUGAACACACUUGUAAAUUGUAUUUGAUAGAGCCUUUUAUAGUUAGAGAAGAAAACUAGCCGUUGUUAACUUUCUAGACAAUAUUUGUUCACCGUUAACCUUAGUUGGUUUGCCAUUUUGACUUCUGCUAAGUAACCGUUAUGCUAAAAUUUGAAUUGUUGUAUCAUCAUUUGAAAUUUUUUGUUUACGUAUAAUUUUAGAGAGUUCACUAAUCGAAGCCGGCUUGCCGUUUUCGCAUAAUGGUUUGUCGUUGAAUUCCAUAAGCUCACCUGUUAGAAGUCGGCUUAUAGUUUGCAAAUAUCAGUUUGUCAUUUUUAGAUAAAUUCCUUUAUGAAAUUUUCGGUUAGCCAUUUUCUCGUAAAUGGUUAACCAUUAAUUUCUAGAACUUGUCAAUAACUCAACCAUAUGUUAUCGGUUUGUUGUUUUAAACAUAAUAGUUAUUGAUUUGUUUCCGAAACCUUAAUCUUGUCCAAAAUAUUAUACAACCUAAGAAAUCUAAUAAAUUUAAAGACUCUAUCAUUUUUAAUCUUGUUUGUUAUCAUUAAAAUCAAUGUUAUGGAUACAUUCCCUUUUUUGAUAAUGACAAACGUUACAUGUAUUCAAAGUGUGAAUGAUUUAAAAAUAUUAGCUCCCCCUAAGUAUUGUACAAGCUUUAAAAGGUGCCAAUAUACUAAGUUAUACCAAUUUUAACCAAUUCAAAAACAUUCAUUUUGUGUGUGCGUGUGCAUACAUCAAUUUUAACAACACAACUUCUCCUAAUUAAAAUGCCAAUUUUAACAAGUUUAUCUUCUCCCCUUUCAUCACAAAAAAAAAAAAAAUUUAGUGCUAAAGGGAAAGAAAUGCAGUGAAAAGCCAAAUUUUUACCCAUGUUGUCCAAGUUGAAAUUUCGGCAGAACCUUCCCCUGUCAACAAGCAUCACCUCAAAAACACUUUUAGCAACAUUACACCCAAAUCAUCAAAGUAUAGAAACCAACAUCUCAGGAUCAAAUCAUCUAAGUCAUCAUAGAUCCAUCAAAUAUAAAAUCAUCACACAAAAUAAUUAUGUAAUUAAAGAUCAAAUCAUUAUGUAAUUAAGCAUCACCUCAAAAACACUUUUAGCAACAUUACACCCAAAUCAUCAAAGUAUAGAAACCAACAUCUCAGGAUCAAAUCAUCUAAGUCAUCACAGAUCCAUCAAAUAUAAAAUCAUCACACAAAAUAAUUAUGUAAUUAAAGAUCAAAUCAUUAUCAUAAAAACUAAUAUCCAAUCUCAAAAAAUAAAAUUUGACAUAAAGUUAACAAAACAUAAGAUGAUAAAUGUCUAUGCUAAAAGUAAAGUAAAGAAAAACUAUUGCGGUGGAUGUGGUGGAAAGCUAGAAGGUAAAAUACAGAGAGUAGGAAGAAUGUGUUGUUGGCCAUUCAGAAGUUGCUGUUGCUAAUCGAAAAUGCAUUAUUGCUGAAGUUAAAAAGCAACAAACUGAGGCCGAAGCUACUGUUGCUACUCGAAAAGUGAUCAAACCUCACUCUUGAUAAGAAUUCAAAUGCUAUUGGUGUCAAUGUGCAAGUGUACCAAACAAGUAAUAUAAUGAUAAGUAUCCAAGAUCGUCUAUAGCAAUCUCCAUAGGAACUGAUGUUACUGAAAUUGCUAUAGCAAUCUUAACAUCGCAGUUCGCCUUAAAUCAAAAUAGAUUAACAAUUAAACUAAUAAACUUUGAAUUAAAUGACAUAACUAAAUAUGCAGAAAAGCAAACUUUAAUAUUACACACACAAGGAUAAAGUCAAUAAGAAUGAAGUAAUUGAGUGAUGAAACUCUCUUAAUGGUUUCGACUAUUUCUUCUAAUUCUAAGUUCAAUUGCUACAACAUCUGCUACAGCAUUGGGCAAAAUCCUUAAGUAUCCUCAGCUGUCACAUGUUGGAUGUCUUAUAUCUAUAUGCAACCUAACAGUGACCAAUUGUUAUGCCAACAUAAGAUAUAGCAUUACAUGUUUAGGUUCUAUUUACCCUACAAGGUGAAUCCCUAUAUAUAGUUUAUCACUAAUUUUAGAUUAAGCAUGACCCUUUUGAAAUCAAGUAAAAUUCAACUCAAGAAAUCCAAUAUAAGACUAAGUAUUACUCUCAUAUGUUCUACUAAGAUAGACCAUUUUGUGACUCUUUCUUAACUUGUAUCAUUAAAUUGGUGGUCGGCCGAAAUAAUGAAUAAAAUAAGCUUUACCAAAACAAAAUGCUAUAGUAAAUAUGCAGUAACAUAUAAAUUCAAUCACAGAACCAUUAAGAUUGUCUAUCACUCAACCACAAUUAAAUUAGUUCAUAACUUGCGAAAGUAAAAUAAAUAAAAGAGUUUUAGCCAUCAAUUACAUCCUCUUGAUUAAAAAGUGAACAAGAAAACAAAAGGAGAAUAAGAAAGACUAAGUUUCUCGAUUAAUCUCCACAAAUCCUCCUUGUUGCAGCCCUUAGUUCUGAUCUUUUGUUCUCUUUCUCUCUUGUUUCUUUUUGGUUUUUGUUCUUGGUUGACAGCCUCCUCUGUUGUUUGUGCAUGUGUGCCUCUUUUAUAGCAUAAAAUUAGGGUAAACAGAGGUUUAAGGUGCACAUCUUCUAGAUUAGAAAACUAUAGAUCACAAUCUAUUAAUUGCUUCGCACGAGAUCUUUCUGUUAAUGCUCUAGGAUUGCUAUAGCAAUGGUUGCUACAAUAAUAGCUACAACAUCUGCACUAUUCUAAAUUUGCUCCAAUUCUUCUAUAGCCAUAUUCUUAUCUACUUUUUGUAAGCCCUUUGCCACAACAUCCUUCUCAUGAAAUUUGACUUCCAGUUACCUACAAUUAUGCAUAUGUUUUCAGAACACAAUUAUUCAAAAUCAAGCAAACUUUAUUAAACUUAAACUAAAAUGGUUGUUAAUGCAAACUAUUAUUAAAAUCCAUUAAAUGUAUCAUGAUAACUCUCAUUUCAUAGAGUUAUCACACCCCAAACUUAAACCAUUACUUGACCUCAAGUAAUGACAACAACUUAAUCACAUAAUCACCUAAUAAUAACAUAGCUCUGCCAUCAAGUUUUCAUGAAUUCUUCAACCCUCGUAUCACACUACACAAAAUUGCCAUAGCAAUUCAGUUCUAGACUUAAGCAUCAUUCUAUCCCAAGUGUGUGUGUGCACUUUGAUAAAGUCUCAGAUAUGUUGCAGCAUCACUUAAGCAUCAGAUGUAUAUUAUAGAUAUAAAAACACUAUAACAAAAUCCAUCUCAUGGGGGAGACAACGGUCUUAAUAUUCUUAUAAUAAAAACAUAA
rnacentral:lncRNA from 1 species